AUUGAACGCUGGCGGCAGGCCUAACACAUGCAAGUCGAGCGAGCGGCGGACGGGUGAGUAAUGUAUGGGGACUGCCCGAUAGAGGGGGCUAACUACUGGAAACGGUAGCUAAUACCGCAUCCUAUCGGAUAACCCAUAUGGGAUUAGCUAGUAGGUGAGGUAAUGGCUCACCUAGGCGACGAUCCCUAGCUGGUCUGAGAGGAUGAUCAGCAACAUUAGGACUGAGAGACGGACCAGACUCCUACGGAGGAAGCAGGGGGGGAUAUUGCACAAGGGGCGAAAGGCUGAUGCAGCGACGCCGCGUGGAGGAUGAAGGCUUUCGGGUUGUAAACCUCUUUCGCUAUCGAACGGGUAGGUGGAGAAGAAGCGCCGGCUAACUACGUGCCAGCAGCCGCGGUAAUAC
rnacentral:rRNA from 1 species